GCCACAAAAUCGUCGAACUUCCUUAAAUGUUCGUAUGUACGGAAAACGACAGCGUUACAUGUUGAGUAUGUGUGUGUUGAAGAAAGUUCGACAAUUGAUCAGCUUUGUGUACAACACACGAUACGAGCUGUGACGUAGUAUUUGAAAGAACG